GUGGGGAAUAUUGGACAAUGGGCGAAAGCCUGAUCCAGCCAUGCCGCGUGUGUGAAGAAGGUCUUCGGAUUGUAAAGCACCUUAAGUUGGGAGGAAGGGCAGUAAGUUAAUACCUUGCUGUUUUGACGUUACCAACAGAAUAAGCACCGGCUAACUUCGUGCCAGCAGCCGCUGUAAUACGAAGGGUGCAAGCGUUAAUCGGAAUUACUGGGCGUAAAGCGCGCGUAGGUGGUUCAGCAAGUUGGAGGUGAAAUCCCCGGGCUCAACCUGGGAACUGCCUCCAAAACUACUGAGCUAGAGUACGGUAGAGGGUAGUGGAAUUUCCUGUGUAGCGGUGAAAGGCGUAGAUAUAGGAAGGAACACCAGUGGCGAAGGCGACUACCUGGACUGAUACUGACACUGAGGUGCGAAAGCGUGGGGAGCAAACAGGAUUAGAUACCCCAGUAGUCC
rnacentral:rRNA from 1 species